ACUCGCGCGCUCGCUUCCAGCCACCCGAUGAUGGAGCGGCCGCCGUGCGCCCUGCUGCUGGGUGCAGCCGGACUCCUGCCCCUGCCCCUGCCCCUGCCCCUGCCCCUGCCCCUGCCCCUGCCCCUGCCCCUGCCCCUGCCCCUGCCCCUGCCCCUGCCCCUGCCCCUCUCAUCUUCGGAAGCCGCGGGGAGAAGGCCAUCACCCAGGUCAGCAAGGGCACCUGCGAGCAAGGCCCACUUUGCUCUUCCAAAGACUGCAUUGCCUUUACUGAAGGCUAGCUACAUCGAUGGCACACCACAUGAACAUGAUGAGUCGUCCUGUGAAGGAACCAAGCCAUCUGCAAUACAACCGCUGUUUGGAAACUUCAUCUUCUUACUGAGCUUGGCUGUCUGCUACAUGCUCCCUGUGGAGUGGAACAUCCGCAGACAUUUUAAAGGAACAGCUUUGUGUCCCACCAAAGGCACCCAUCCCUGGGUCUCUUAAGCUGCCAGGCGUCAGUGCUGUUUUGCACAGACGAUGCUAUUAAUAGCAUUGCAGUCUUUGGUUUCAAUGUAGAGGCUCUCAGGGACUUACCCUGGGAAUAGAGACAUCAGCAGAUUUCCAGAUGUUUCUUGGUUAUUGGAAUACCCUGACAGAUUUUUAGCUGUCAUGUCCUUCAGUCCAGCAAUCCAGAUGUUCUUUCUCUGCCAUUUGUCAUGGGGUAUAGCCAGGAUCUUAACUACUAGACACCUCUAGUAUUCUAAUAGAGUGUUAAUGGCAUUGGCAACACAGGGUAUGAGAAAUAACCUCAAUUUAAGUUAUUUUGUGGCAUCAGAACACAGUGCCAUUUAUGCUUUCUGUAAAAAUAUCCUUUGUAUCUUCCAGCUUCUGGCACUACUGACUUUGGAUCUGUGGGCAGUAUUUGGAUCAAGAGCAGUACUGUUACAGAUUGAAAACUCAGGGAGACGCACACACAUGUUAGUUUCAGACUUCUGUGUUCCUGAGGAUUGCUUUAACUUGUGAUCUCCCUGGCCCUGCCUCCCCAGGGCUGGAUUUGUAGAAAUGCACAACCAUGCCUGGUUCAUGUGUGCUGAGGACCAAUCCCAGGGUUCUAUGCAUGCUGGGUGCUGAUGACUGAACACUUAGACUCACACAUCAUAUGUGGACACUGCUGAUAUUGGAUGAUGUCAAGGUUCAGAAGACCUUCCAGAGGAUUUCGAGGAUCUUCUGUCCUCAAGGAAUCGAUUACAGAUUUCUACUUGCAGAAAAGCUCAGCUGGACACAGCUCAAGUGAGCUGCACAUAUAUUCUCCCUCUACAACCCACUAUAAAGGAGUGGAUGCUCUCUGGAACAUUCUAACCCCACUGCAGAGGCUCAGAACAGAGUAACAAUCACUGGUGUGGACAAUGUAUCUAAGGCUUAAGCUGUCUUGGAGAUGUCAGCAGUCAUCAUCAUUGUGGGACGCCUGACUUGCCAGCAAGAAAGACGCCACAGCAGGAUCCUUCUGCAACACGUUUAUUGGGAGAGCAUUGACUGCGUAGGCAAAAGACCCCGAGCCCCAGAACUGGUGCUGUUUAUAUAGGCCUAGGAGUGACGUGUCCACACCUGAUUGGUUGUGCCCUCAGCACCUCAUUCACGUGCCUUGGACCAGGCAGUGACUCAGCAAAAAACUCUAUGGUACAUGCACACAUUGGUUGUUUACCCAUAUUCAUGGGCGUCGGCUUAUUGAAACUAGCGCCAUUUUGUAAUGGCGUUUGUGGCUUCCCACAUCUCUUGUAAUGGCGUUUGCAGCUUCCCACAUCUCCCCCUUUUUAUUUUAAUAAAAUGAUGCUGGACUAGG
rnacentral:lncRNA from 1 species